rnacentral:rRNA from 1 species
GUGCACGCUGGCGGCGUGCCUCAUACAUGCAAGUCGAGCGAACAGAUAAGGAGCUUGCUCCUUUGAAGUUAGCGGCGGACGGGUGAGUAACACGUGGGUAACCUACCUAUAAGACUGGGAUAACUUCGGGAAACCGGAGCUAAUACCGGAUAACAUUUAGAACCGCAUGGUUCUAAAGUGAAAGAUGGUUUUGCUAUCACUUAUAGAUGGACCCGCGCCGUAUUAGCUAGUUGGUAAGGUAACGGCUUACCAAGGCGACGAUACGUAGCCGACCUGAGAGGGUGAUCGGCCACACUGGAACUGAGAAACGGUCCAGACUCCUACGGGAGGCAGCAGUAGGGAAUCUUCCGCAAUGGGCGAAAGCCUGACGGAGCAACGCCGCGUGAGUGAUGAAGGGGUUCGGCUCGUAAAACUCUGUUAUUAGGGAAGAACAAAUGUGUAAGUAACUGUGCACAUAUUGACGGUACCUAAUCAGAAAGCCACGGCUAACUACGUG